GCGCGCUUGGUGUAACGGUAACACACGGCACUUAAUUCCAUUGAACGCUGCGUUCGGGGUUCGAAUCCCUGAGCCCGCC